ensembl:snoRNA SNORD22 Small nucleolar RNA SNORD22
UCUCCAGUGAUGAGACAUUCACACGUCUCACUUCCUGUCCUAGCCCCAGAGCCUCUAAAGGUGAACCCACUGGGACUGACUGGGGGAGAAGAAAAUUUGUUCCAGAAGGAACUGUCUGAGAGAU